CUGUUGCCAGCGCUGGAAGGGGCCGGGGAGGUUGGGGCAGCCUCAGCUGCGCCCACCUUCGGGGUCGAUGGCCCCGUCUGCUGGGUUGACGGAGCAGCGCUAGCUGCAACCGCCGUGGGGGCAGAUGGCGUAACUGCCGACUCACGGCUUGUGGGUUGGACAGCCGCCGGAGGCCGUCGUGACGCUGCCCCCUGAUGCGCCACUUCGGCAAAGCUGGCCUUAGGAAGGUAUGGAACCCGCCUGCGUGCCUCUUUGAAUGAUAUGUUUUCUUUUACUUUGAUGGUGACUGUUUCUUUUUCUUUUUUCCAAGACGGGCAUGACCGCGAGUAUGCGGCAUUCUCGCCAUCACAGUUCACGCAGUGUGGAGCGUUUUUGCACGUUUCAGAGGCAUGGUCACGGGAACUACAUUUUGCACAUGUCUGCCGGCCUCGGCAGUUCUGGGAACUGUGGCCGAAACACUGGCAUUUGAAGGAACAUGCGGCCUGACCCGUAGCAUUACAUAGCUGGUCUCUGGUGUCUCAGGCAGAAUGCUUGAAGAGAAAGUCGGUACAAGAUGCUUGGUUUUUAUCUCCUUGCCGUCGCGCCUUAGCAUGAUUCUUUUAACAUUGAUCACGUUUUGCUCACUCCAGCCUUCCAACAGUUCGGCUUCUGUGAGCUCCAUCAAAUCAUCGUCAGAAACAGCACCACGACUGGUGUUCAUAGUUCGUUGUGUAGUUACUGUUACUGGGAUUUCCCCAAACGACUCAGCUUUAGGAAGGUUUUCAAACUGUUUUGGAUUGCGGAGUUCCAAAAGGAGAUCGCCGCUAGCUAGUUUCGAUGCUUUAUAGCCUGUUCCAAGAGUUUCAGUGAGAUACUUGGACACGAGGAAAAGAGAAAUCAUUCCCAUGGUCUUUUCAGGUUUGUUUGAAUGAAUUACAUGGAAUCGGGGAAAGUUUGGCAGUUGGUUUCCAAGAAAUUGGAAAAUAUCUUCGGUGUGCCCUCGUUUCUGAGGGCGAUCAGGUAGUCAGGGAAAAGAAGUGGCCAUUAGAAGUGUGGUGUUUUUGGCAGGGAUGGCCGCCGCCCACCAUGGAGCCCAACCAGGGGACGACACAGGACGGAAAUAUUCAGUUCUGCACACGCCAGCGGUACAACCCCACUAUAACCAAAUACAUAUAGCCAAGACUGGAUAUAGUGCACAAGGUUAACCCUCGCUGCCUACGAAGCCGGAAGUAAUACGAAAAUAAAGAGAGGACAGGAAAGGUUAAAAGUGAGAGAAAGAGAAAGGAAAAGGCAACUACCUAUUUCCCCCAGGUGGGUCAGUCCGGGGGUGCCGUCUAUGUGAAGCAGAGGCCGAAGAGGUGUGUUGCCUCCGCCGGGGGGCCUUGAAGGUCUAAACACCCGGCAUCGGCUCAACCCCCAGGAUCCCCCUUUCCCCAGACACGGCUAAGCCGCGCACAGUUGCACGCGGGAGGGUCCAACCCUCGUGUGCUCGGGUACGUGGUGUCGCAACACACCAAACGCCUGCUGACGCAGACGCCCCUGCGGGGCCCUUAAAUAUUCGAAAACGUCCCAAAACUUGCGGUCUCGCCUGGAUACGAGCCUGGCUUUGGCUUCUGCUUUUUGCAACAUGCGCAAACAUCGCAGUGCAAGUAUGGCGCGAGGAGCAUAGCAAAAUUUUUCAGACAUGAAUGUUCCAUUGUUCCAUUCAAUCCCCAGCACAUUGGUUCUUUAUUCUAUGGCACCACUGUGAACCAGAUCACGGCAGUGUACAAGUUCACAAAUUGUGCAUCUUUGUGCGGUAGUGCACUAGCAAAAAUGGUGCAAGGAUUUUUAGUUUCGAAAUGUCUUCAACGCACGUUUGGUGGCAACUAGUUGCUUAAACAACGAGCAGGUGUUGUGCAACGAUCUGUUUGAAUUGCCUUCAUCAUGUGUGUGUGGAAUUACGUGCGUUGGUGAGCGCCUUCGUAUGCCUUCUGUUUAUUCCCUCUCUUAGCAUUGUUUGCUUUUGAUAUCUGUGUGGUCUUAAUGCACAUUUUCCAUGUGCACUGUUUGUAUGUCGGGUAGAUUGGCGACAGACGAUGUCGCACGUCUUCGUGUUCGUUAACAUAGUGCGACCACGAUUCUGAUGUUUAUUAGCGUUCUCAAAGCUCAAAGCAGCAUUUAAUUGUGGUCUCGUCAACCGCACGUGACUCCCAGUGAAAUAUGUAUAUGUAAGAUAAUCACAACUACGCAUGUGAACCCGUAUGUUCCAGCUUUUCACAUGUUAUCACAUGAAUUAUACCGGCUUCACACGGCAACUUUCGAACACGAUCGAGCUCGAUAAUUUUUUUACAUAAAGAGUCUGAACACCGCAGUUUUAUUACACGCUAAGUUUUAUCACACACUCAUACCACAGUGCUUUUGGUUAGUGUUUUGCAUGUCUAAUUAGAAUUACAUUAAGGCGUUUUGUGCCCACGCUGCUUAAUUAACUGGUAACCCACGUUGCUUUAUAGGCCAUCACCAAAUUAUAUACAAUGCUUUAUGGAGAGAUGCAAGCAUUUGUUGAAUUAAAAGAAACACUUUAUUGAGGCCUAUACUUCAGAUAUGUUGUGAAUUUUUAUAGGAAAUUCCACCUAUCAUUUUCAUAGGAUGCUUGGGAGUCGAUAUACUUCGCUUGUGACCAGUGUUUAUGAAUGACAUAUCACAUUUUAUGGUUUGCCUGACAUUUGUUGCAGAAAGUGUCUGCUGUAUUUGCUUUAUAACCUUGACCUCCCGAGUGUGGUUGCUGCCAAUAAUGGACACAUAGAACUCAGUGCACCUUUUAUUUUUUUAAUUUGGCAUGCUGUUUCAUCAGCUUUCUACAGCAUGUGGAAGCACUUCGUCCCGCAUGUCUAGUCAUUCCCAUAGUAAAAAUACAGAAGAGCCAUCAUGUCAAAUUGUCUCGAAGCUAUAAGCACACCACUUACUCUUUUGACUAUGCCAGAUAUUAUCGGUGUAUUUGUGCAAGCAUGAUGGGAGAACAUGUCUACUGCUACUUUGCUGUACCACACUCUGCUGGCAGGUGUACUAGGGUACCAUUUGUUUGCUGCUGUUUUGCUGUUGUGUUCCAGUGAAAAACAGAGAAAUUUUUGCUGCUGGGUUACAUGGAAUAGUGUAGAUAUCACAGCUCCAACGGUUGGUACAAACAUGGGCCAUCCAUGGCCCAUCAAGUACUUUGCAGACAUUCACACAGUCUCUAUUGAUUAAACGAAUGUCCACAUAAUUUCUGCUCAGCUACAGCUUCUUCAAGCCAUUUGUAAUCAAGUGUAACAGGAAUGUUUUUGUCUUCAUUUAUAUUUCACAAUGCUGUUGCUUCUGCACCAUAACAAUUACCAGCAUGCUCAGUUCUGUACAGGGAGAGUAACCAACGUCACAGUGGAUGUGUUAAGCAAGACCCUGUACGUUUGAUUAGGCACUUCAUGGUGACAAAAAAGACUGCAUUCAGAAGCAUUAAAAAAUAUUUGAUUGUCUGUAUUAAAAGGUUAAGUUGAAUAGAUGUAUAAUUUUUUUAAAUAACAUUAUUGAAAUCAAUUUAGGGAUGGUUGCUUACAAGCCAUAUUUAUUUUUUUCAUUUUUCAUGUGUUCAAACAGGAAAAUUACACUUGGCACCGUCAUCAUUAAGUACAUGGUAGUAUGGUUUAUAUUAGGGUUGUGGCUUGUACUAGUUGGCUCAUGGUGCAAAAGUAGGGGAACAGCGCAAAGUUGAUGGAACACAAGAUGAAGAAAGGACGAACAGGGCAGACAUGGUUUAUUUGCUUGAUAAACAUGUAUUUGUCUUUUGUUGGGAGAUGUGGUACUUCCAUUCUAAAAAAAAGUAAACUACUUGAAUUUAAGGUUAUAAGGUCAGCAUGAGAUUACAAGUGUGAUGCUGGGCGCAGCAGUCUCACUGCUGAAGGCCUGAGUGUUGAAGCACUUAUGUUCCAUGAUUUGUGUCCACAUUAAAGAAACCCCGGUGUUCAAGAUUAAUCAGAUGCCCUCCCCACUACAGCCAUAUUUUCCGACAAGAAUUCCUAGAGGGAACUAUAGUGCUGCGUUCAUUCAGCUGCUGUGAGAACAUUGGGCAGUACCUGUAUUUGUCUAGUGUUUGUGCUUGUGGCUUUAAGUAGUCUUGUGGAGUUGCUUAUUUCACUUUCUAAAUGUCCACACCAUCAUACUAGUUUACUAGUUUUCUAAACACUGCAAGCUAAUACAUCUUUGUUCAAAUGCUUAAUGAUAGUGAAUUGUAUUUAUAAAGCAAUGUUUUGUUGAGUAGGAUAAACUCGUCAAGUCACUAAGCCAUUUGAAGUCACAAGGACAAAGUUUAUGCAAAUGUAUGUACUACUAGUCGUUACACUGUCAUUCUCAUUCUGGCUGAACUGCCAUACUUGCAGCUUCCAGUGACAAUAGUGUCGGGGUUCUCUCUAGACAUUUCUGUAAGAAACUUUGUGACUACAGUGCCCCUCAUAACCCCUGUGUUCACUUGAAAUGAUUAGCUCCAUAACUUAUUUUUAGAGCUUAAGAGGUUACAGAAGUAGCUGAGGACUCUGUGUAAAGUAAUGUGCAUAACUAAAAAAAAAAGAAAAACAAGAAGCAAUCAAAUUGUAUACAAGGUGAGUAGCACGCACACCGCAGUUGUUAUUCAAAGGUGCAUUAGCAUUCAGGAUUCUGUGUUAUAAUGUAGCGUGCACUAUUUAGUUUGUUUAUGAUUUAGGGUCCUCGUAAUACCUUUAAAAUUUGUUUUUCAGUGGUUUUCCCACAUCUGGCCAUGGUGGCCGCAUUUCGAUGAAGGUGAAGUGAAAAGACACCGGUGUACUUAGAUUUAGCUGCAUGUUAAAGAAUCCCAAGUGGCCAAAAUUAAUCUGGAGUAACCCACUACGGCGUGCCUCAUAAUGUGAUUAUGGUUUUGGCACAUUAAACACCAUAAUUUAUUUUUCACACAUUCAUUGCUUACAGUCUGAAUUAUUUUUGACCAUGCUAGCAAUAUUAAGCCAAUCUUGCAGCAUUUUCUCAGUGGAUGUAGUCGAAAAUUACUUUGCUGUACAGAUGAACGGAGGUAGCAGUUAUUGUAUAGUAGGUGAAUCAUAGCGCGUGAGACAAGGAAUAACUGCGGAUAUUAGAUACUCAGGGCAUAUACUUCAAACUUAUUUAUUGGCAUCAACACGCAUCCUUACAGACAUAUUUUGUGCACGGAACAUUAGACAGUGCUCGUCUAAUGUUCCAUGUUUUAUUUGUCCCUGUGCUCUUUGCGCUGCAUUCCCCAACUAAUUGUGAACCAACUCGCCCAAAUCAAAGUCCUGCUUCAUCUCUCUUGAGCUCUAUGCUUAAGAAAGGUGAGGUGCAGAGGGCAAAUGCACUCUGGUUUUGCGGGUGGAGCUUCUGUAUAAUUAUUAGGUUGUCACUGAGUGUAUGGUGUGUGUUCAAAAAGAAACCCAACUUUUCCUAUAACACCUUGAUUGCUAUCUUUGGCUCUAGCAGGUUACCAGAGACAUUAGAAACUGGAUAUACCAAAAUCAGAGUACGACUGUACAUCCCAAACCCGCGACGUUGUUUUACAUGCCAGAGGUUUGGUCAUGCUUCCCAGAGCUGCCGAGGGCGGCUAACCUGUGCGAAAUGCGGCAUCAAUGAUCACUCUGCUGAUGACUGUAAGGCUGAGUCCCGUUGUAGCAAUUGUAAUGGUGGCCACCCGAGAUAUUCUCGAUCAUGCGCAGUCUGGAAAAAAGAAAAAGAAAUAAUUGCGAUGAAGGUAAAAGAAAACAUAACUUUCACAGAGGCAAGACAAUGUAUCUCCAACAUUUGCACAGAGCGCAUCUUUCGCUAAAGUGGUACAUCGGGGGGCAGUACCACAAUGGCACUUGGCGGACGCCACCACCACGUGUAGCGGGCGUGCGGCAACGCCACCCACCCCCAUGGUGGGAGCAGCGAAGGCUGCCCUACCUCUCUCGAAUUCGACCACAGUGGAGGCCUCUGCUAGUGCUGGCACCAGUCAGCCCAGCUCAGAGGUCAAGAAAAACCCACCAACCACCAGGACGGUGGGCUCCAAGGCCUUGUCUUCACGGAAAACACACCGCUCGCAAGAGCUCGUGUCCAGUGCCUCUCAAGUGGCCAUGGACACAACACCCAGUCAGAGGCGCAGUUGACACUUAAGGAGCAGCGCGAUUUUGUCGACCGCUCCAGAAGAGACAAAACUCCAAUUACAGAGCCCGAAAAGGGCACUGUAAGCUAAACCAAGUUCAUUCUCUGACACGUAGCACAGCAUUUAUUUUAAUAUGGAUACACUGAUUAUUCAGUGGAAUAUCAGAGGCCUGCUUUGCAACCUCGAUGAUGUCCAAGAAAUUCUUAAUGAACUAACUCCAAAAGUGCUGUGUCCAAGAGACUCAUGUUAAAUCUAAACAUAAACAAUUCCUUCGUCACUGGUAUUUUUCAGAAGGAUCACGAUGAUGCCCUCGCAUCAUCAGGCGGCGUAGCCAUCAUAGCUGACAAAUCUAUAGCCUGUCAACACUUAAGGCUCAACCAGACGUACGCAUUCCAACGCGUCCACACACGCCGCGCUGACUCGACGUCGCGCCCGACGGAGGAAGAGGGCGCGCACCCAAAUGAUGCACGAGUUGCCGCGCGUAGCCACGCGUCUCGUCACGGCGGCGCAGUGUUGCUAGUUUGCCAUGUUCAAGGCAGCCUAGCCUUCGCUUAACAGCCACGUUAAGCAAUGUGUUACAUAUUGCAAGAAAACACAAUAACUUUAGUUUAACAUUUGUUUUUAUAUUUCAGAAACAUAUUUUACGACUCCUUGUGGGUCAUUCAGCUCAAUUGCGACCUAGUAUGGGUGUUGUGAGUUGGCGAAACCUGCAGCAGCAUCGGCUUAGCAUCACUCGUGUGCUAUGCGCCUCGCGUGUUGUAUGGUGUGUCAGACCUCGAACUGCGCUGCAAGCUUUCGACCUUUGUGCUAACUGUUGAAUCAUGAGACGGUUGUCCAGAAAAAAGAAAGUGUUGCUUGUCAUGAAAAUGAUGACGUUGCUGCUAAUGCUGAAGAGAAGGCGACGUCGGUACCAGCGGCAACCGCAACGAUGGUGGGUUCGGCCCAUGUUUGCAGCACGCAAGCAAGAAGGACUUUACUACACAGUAGGCUCACUGGCACAAUUUGUUAUUUUUGCUUUGUUAAAGAAACUGCGAAUUCACUGCCCUUGCAUCCACUGAGUGGCUUGUAAGAGUACCCAGCAGAGCUGAGUGCGAGAAGAUGGCCCAGGGCUUUUCGAUGUGGUAGCAGUUCCCGAACUGCCUAGGUGCUGUGGACGACAAACACGUUGCCAUUGUUAGCCCUCCUAACUCUGGCAGCGUCUACUUCAACUACAAGGGCACAUUCUCUGUGGUCCUAAUGGCUGUGGUCGACAGUGACUGCAAGUACACCCUCAUCGAUGUGGGAGCCGAGGGUCGCAUCAGUGAUGGUGGGCCACUCAAAAAUUCUGUUUGGACGUGCCCUCACUCAAGGAGACUUGGAUAUCCCAUCACUAAGUUGGCUUCCUGGCUCUGCAACAAAUGCACCAUAUGCCUUCGUAGGCGACGAGGCUUUUCAGCUGAGAGAGGAUUUUCUUCGUCCUUAUCCAGCCAGGCAGCUUGAUGAUGAAAGACGGGUCUUCAAAUAUAGGCUAAGCCGAGCAAGUCUUUGGCUAGCGGCUCCCUGCUGACUUGGGGCAGCUGCUCCUUGUGCCGUAGACGUCGAGGCUGGCGAGACCUGGGACGCUGAUACCAAACCUGACAGAUCAGAAAAAUCUGAUUGUUCAUCCAAAUUCUGCUCUUCGAAUUGGGCAAUGCCCAUUAAAAGUUCUGCACUACUGUGCUGCUGGUUCGCACCGAGUGGCUCACUUGUGUCCAGCUGCUGACUCACCUCUCUCGGGCUUGCAGGCACUACAUAAUUGCCUGAAGUGCUGCACGUAAGAAAAAGUGCAUGUUUUCUAUGUUGUGACGUUUUGUAACAUUGCAAUAAAACAAAGUGAAACCA